rnacentral:rRNA from 5 species
ACGGGUGAGUAAUACAUCGGAACGUGCCCAGUAGUGGGGGAUAGCCCGGCGAAAGCCGGAUUAAUACCGCAUACGACCUACGGGUGAAAGCGGGGGAUCGCAAGACCUCGCGCUAUUGGAGCGGCCGAUGUCAGAUUAGCUAGUUGGUGGGGUAAAAGCCUACCAAGGCGACGAUCUGUAGCUGGUCUGAGAGGACGACCAGCCACACUGGGACUGAGACACGGCCCAGACUCCUACGGGAGGCAGCAGUGGGGAAUUUUGGACAAUGGGCGCAAGCCUGAUCCAGCCAUGCCGCGUGUGGGAAGAAGGCCUUCGGGUUGUAAACCACUUUUGUCAGGGAAGAAACGGUCUGAUCUAAUAAAUCGGACUAAUGACGGUACCUGAAGAAUAAGCACCGGCUAACUACGUGCCAGCAGCCGCGGUAAUACGUAGGGUGCAAGCGUUAAUCGGAAUUACUGGGCGUAAAGCGUGCGCAGGCGGCUAUGCAAGACAGAUGUGAAAUCCCCGGGCUCAACCUGGGAACUGCAUUUGUGACUGCAUGGCUAGAGUACGGUAGAGGGGGAUGGAAUUCCGCGUGUAGCA